GUCAUCUUUAUAAUAUGCAAACUUGCAGAGAGUCAGAGAUUCUUUCUAAACUUAAAGUCAGAUUUUUUCCAUUACGUUUCCUGCUUCGACAUAGCUACAAUUCCCUUUCCCCUCAACUCCCUUUACCCUCAACCUUAAAUUCUUUCUAUGGCAAUCAAACUAAACAAAAAUGAAAAGGAGCACCAGUUUGACUGAUAUUAGAAGAAACAAAAAAUGGGAAGGAGUUGCAUCCCCAUAUCAUCUCACAUUUGCCAAUCAAGAAGGUAAUUUGAUGGAAUUAAAUUUUCCUUCUCUGUUGGGUUCAUCGUUUUUUCUGUGUAUUUUGAAGACUGAAAGAGAAAUUGAUCCAUUACGGUGAGAACCAACAUUUAGUCCUACGAGAAUUUUAUUCUGUUGGUUUUAGGGUUGAUUUAUAAUGGGUUUGAGAUGAAAUUUUGCUAAUUAAAUUGGUUUCUUAAGGGUCAGAGGGUUGAUUUUGCAGUGUAUUAAGAUCCCUCUUACUUACCAAACUGGAGCAGGGAAAUUGUCAUACAGUUCACUUAUGUGAAUUCUUGGAAUUUGUCCUUGUUAGUGAUUACGGUGGAAAUGAGCUUUAACAGAUUUUUACAUUCAUGUUGAAUAUCUGAUACACUGGAUUGCCUGGAAAUUAACAAAAAGAAGUGGCAGCUUUGCAGGAAAGGCAAUCAGAGCAUGUGAGUAAAGGCAAAACAAAGUGGCGGCUUUCCAACAAAGGAAAUUUGAGCAUGUAAGUAAAGGCAAAAAGUACUUGCGGCUUUGCAGCAAAUGCAAUCUGAUCAUGUUGCAAGUCAAGAGGCAUAUGAAACAUUGGGGCAAUAGUAAGGAGUCGUAGAGGCAAACAUAAAAUUGGAUUCUUGAGUUGAUCUUGACUACCCAAAAUAGAAGAUGUUUCAUCCACUGCCUCCUAGCCUUGGACCUGGGGUAUAUCUUGGAGCAGUGGAAAAGGAAUCAUCUUUCAUUGGAGACAUCUUUAGUAUGACGCCCUUGCUGGAACAAUCCAGAGACAUUUGUUCGAGCUGAUGGGCCUUCAUUGCUUUUGCUGAUGUUUUAGAGAUCUCCAAUGUGACUAUGACUGUGAAGGUUGUAGGACAGAUUGGGGAUGUUAAGAUUAUAUAGUUGCAGUCGCCAAUCAACAGCCUCACUGGGAAGGAAGUGGUGAAGGUUGGAAGAAGCUCCAACUUGACUACUGGGACAAUAACCAACAAACUUUUCUUGUUGGGUGAGAACCAACAAACUUUUCAUACUGAAGGGGACAGUGGGAGGAGCGAAGACGAAAAAACAUACUCUGGUAGUUACGUUUUUUUUGGUUCAUAGUGUGCUAAUUUUGUUUAGUGGACUAAACACUUUACUUUCAGAAUUGGUAAUGAUGUAUUUUUAACAUUUGUCAGUUUCCCUUUGUGUGAUAUCACCCAAGUACUAUCCAAUAUAAUAAACUGGUAAAAUUGCAAAACUGUAGUAUAUAAUAAACUGGGUACAAAUUAAGAUGAUCAUAUAAAAUAAAUUUGGUCCAAUACU